rnacentral:rRNA from 2 species
GACGGGAGAUGCGAGCGUUGUUCGGAAUCAUUGGGCUUAAAGCGUGUGUAGGCGGCUCGGUAAGUACCUUGUGAAAUCCCACGGCUCAACCGUGGAACUGCUUGGUGUACUGCCGGGCUCGAGGUUGGUAGAGGUGCCUGGAACUCUAGGUGGAGCGGUGAAAUGCGUAGAUAUCUAGAGGAACGCCCGUGGCGAAAGCGGGGCACUGGGCCAAUCCUGACGCUGAGACACGAAAGCGUGGGGAGCAAACGGG